rfam:Haemonchus placei strain MHpl1 genome assembly, scaffold: HPLM_contig0001257
GGCCCAAAUUUGAAGUACAGUAGAUUAGAAGAGUUAACUGAUACUACUGAUCUACUCUACUUCAAAUUUGGUCCC